CUUUACAUUUUAGGUAGGUUAUGAUACCUUGGCCAUAGGAGCUGAGUGGAUUUUUUGCUCCAAGCAAGAAGUGAUCUUUCCGGUGCUUUGUAGUUGCGAUGUUCUUCUUUUGCUGUUAAUAGGUUUUUUCCUUGCAUUGCUCUUGUUUCAUUCUCAAAAUGAAGUUUUUCUGUUGGGGAAAAAAUGUAGCAAAAUUUUAAAAUUCUUUUACAUAAGAAUAAAUUUCAAAAAAAUAGCAUUAUAUGACAACCAGGGCAGAGGAGUGGGCAGUAGCCCUUCCUCUUUGAAUAACUCUACCACCUCCGUACCUGGCAAAUCCUCAACACAAGUGAGCUUUAACUUUUACAAAAUGCAUACUCCUUGUUAGUUGGAUCUGCUUCCAAUCAGUUACUCCCCUUCCUCCUGGAGUCCCGGUCCCUUAUUAACAUCACACCAUUAUUGUUGUCUUUCAGAGGUCCUUGGGGUGCACUUUCAGCUAUCCCUGAGAAUAAUGCUAUUUCUAUUAAUUCUCAGGUUUUUAUAUUUCCUUUUCUUUUUCUCUUUUAGUUUAAAGAAUAUCAUUUUUCAUAACAGUUUGUUUCAUUGAUCGAGUGUGUUCAUGCUUCCUUGUUCAAUUACAGGGGGGAUUUGUUUUCUCUGCUUCUGGUGAUUCUUGUGCAUAUUGUUGGGAUGUGGAAACUGGUAAAGUAAAAAUGGUAUUUAAGGGGCACUUGGACUACUUGCACUGCAUAGUUGCUCGCAAUUCAUCCAAUCAGAUCAUAACUGGUUCAGAGGACAGGACUGCACGAAUUUGGGCACAAUAACCACCACCUAUCACUUUCAUAAUUCUUCCUGAUCCAUCAGAACAUCACAACUCAGAGUAUUCAGCUUGCAGAUAUGUGUUGCUUUUUGCCAUAAUUAACACAGUUAAAUAUUAAAGCACUCCCAAGCUGCUCAUGUCACGAACUUGUGGAGGGACUUCUCCAGUGAGUUGAUUGUGGGAAAGAUCAAGUGCUUCUAAUUUCAAUAGAUUCCCAAGAGAAGAUGAGAUUUCACCUGAGAGAUUGUUGUAACUGAGGUCUAAACUGAUAUAGAGAUUUUUGGCAUUUUCCAAUUUCUGUUUUAAUAUGGAGAAUAACACAGCUUUUAGUAUGGUUUAUAGUUUUAGUAUGGUUGAAAAAUAUAUUGAGGAUUAUAGUUGAUGUAUCAAUACAUUUUCUUUAUGCUUU